CACAAACUGAUAAAUUUUUAUACGUAGCUUAUUGGAUGCUGUCACUAUAAGGUCAGUCAGUAUCUAUAACAACAACUCAAGCGUUUCUCUUUUGAAAUGAAACUUCUUUAGGCGCAUAAGGGUAAAAUUUUUACGGAUGAAACGCACGAAAAUGUGCCGUUUCGAUGAAACGGCAACGUUUUUGUCGAACAACAGAGCCACCUAGCGUGUACUAUAGAAACAACAAAGGUUGUUACAUUAAUAUCGAUAAUAUUACGUUGCAAACUAACUGG
rnacentral:misc_RNA from 1 species